UACGUAGGGUGCAAGCGUUAAUCGGAAUUAUUGGGCGUAAAGCGCACGUAGGCGGCUCGGCAAGUCGGAUGUGAAAUCCCUCGGCUCAACCAAGGAAGUGCAUCCGAAACUGCAGAGCUUGAGUACUUAAGAGGAUCGCGGAAUUCCCGGUGUAGAGGUGAAAUUCGUAGAUAUCGGGAGGAACACCAGUGGCGAAGGCGGGCGAUCGAUGGGAAGAUACUGACGCUGAGGUGCGAAAGCGUGGGGAGCAAACAGG
rnacentral:rRNA from 1 species